ensembl:snoRNA
GCUGGCAGUGAUGACAAACUUGCCCUCACUGAGAUCCAUCCAGGGAUGGUUGUUGAGAAACAUCCUCUGUGCUCAACUUGGGCUGAGCCUCC